AAGAAAAUCUCAUUUCAACUUUGAUAUUUUCCCAUGCAGCGUUUGGUUGAGUGCUGCUGGGGGACGGUCCCUGUGGAUCCUGCAGCUUCGGCGGCUGCUCUUGACGUGCAGCAGGAAAGGUUGCCAUGGCCACAUCUCAUGGAAGCAAAAGCUACGGAAUAACCUUAAAGCGCAGCGCACGGAAAACAAACGGAUUCAGAUCCAGGGUCUCGCUCUUCAGUGUGAGAGUAAUGAGGUACUUUGUUCUUAUUUAUGCAUCUGUUUGAAAGGACUGGAAGCUUCAGGAGCAAAUUCAGAGCUUUCUUUUUGUCUUUUUUUUUUAGAAAACAAACCUCCUUUCUCUUCAAAGCUGCAUGACCCGUGCGAGCUAUAGGUUCCAACAGUGCCGUCCUUGUUAGUGCACUUCACAGCCUCCUGUUUGCAACCGCUCCUUUUCUUAACCUCUGCAAGGUCUUUUGCUCUGAACUCACAAAGCAUCUGUCCAGCUACCUGCGUUCAUUUACCUCUUCCCGCCUUCUGUGGCUCCACUAAAAAAACACUUUUCAUUUUCUCCCUUUGUGCAGAAUUUUGAUGUAAUCCAAUAACCUUGAUCCUCUCUGCUGCUGCUUUUCCCUCCUGUUAGUGCAGUCUUGGAGUCCUAAUUAAUCUGCAUGGUCAGAUUCCUUCAGGAUGUUUUUAAAGCGCUGCAGGAAUGUACAUGGAAGUGAAGCAUGCAGGAACGAGCCUUCAGCGAGGUACAGUAUGCAUGCAGGAUGUCUACAAUCAUGAGACGUGAUGUGCAGACGCGGGGCCUUUUCUGCGGCUUCAGAUGCCUCCCAUGAGUCAUGGCGCUCCAGAGGCCGAUGAUCAUCGGGGGGAGGGGGCGCCGUGCUGUCCACGCCGGCUGGCAAAUACCCUCUACCUCCUAACGCACUUUUGUCGCCCUUACGACUACAUGACACACAGACUCGACCGAGCGGACGGCCGUCCUGUCUGCUGAGCUCUUCUGGGACCGCAGAGCUCGCUUAUUUCUGAGGAAGACACAGAUAACAUUUGACAAUAAAGAAAAAUGACAGGCUCACACCUAUUUUUACUCCUGGAGCCUGUAGGCUGGCAAAUAUCCAAAUAAAAAGACGGGCCCAAAAUACGUCAAAUUAUUGUUACUUUUUUAAUUCCAGAAGAAGAAGCAGCUUUUCUCCUGCUAUUAUUCUCACAAAAACAUGCAGGUAUUUCCAUCAGUGAAAACGAAAAUCCAUACAAGUCUGUGAAAUCAACUGACAACUUUUA